UUUUUUUUUUUUUUUUUUUUUUUUUUAAGGUAAGUCAAAUAUUCCAUUUUAUAUUAUUUCCUGUGUGGUUCUUUGAUGAAUCUCUGACAUCAUCUCCUGAAUUAGUAGAAGUCAAGCAACAUUAAUGCUUUGCUUUUAUCUGAGAAGGCUACUAGCUGCCAUAAAUAAAAGUGGACUCUUGCUGAGUUAAGCAAAAUGAGAUUUAUUAAAAGGAUGUUGGACAGCUCAUCGUGGUACUAGGAGGGCUAGAGAACUAGGCCUGGGACUAAGCAGCUGGGAAACAUCAUGCCUCAAGCCUGUUUCUGGCAGAGAAACACUUAUUGGGUGUGUGGAGGAGAAGUUUUAUCUCACGUUCAGUGUCAUCAGAUCCCAAAUUCUAAACAAACUAAAGUGUAUGUGAUUGAUCAUGUGCCCCUGUCCUAGCAUCAAGGGAGGUUGCAAAAGUGAACUGUUUUAAUUCUUAUAGUGAGAAAGAGACUCUUCUCCUUACCAUGACUCACAAGAAGCUCAGAUUUCAAGUACCAGGUAAAUGAGAAAUGAUCACUACAGUGAUAUUUGGAGGAAAAUCAAGGAGAAGUAGCCAUACCCUAUAUUUGGGCUAAUAGCUAGACACUGAUGAAGAAUCAACUGCAAAAUAUAUAGGUGAACUAACAAACCUAAUCCAGCUACACGUAAAAAAAAUCACAGACCAUAACCAGAUGAGAUUUAUCCCAGAAAUAUAAAGUAGUUAAUAUCAGAACAAUUGAUUAAUGCAAUACGCCAUAAUCACAAGAACAAAGACAAAAAUGGCAUUAUUGCCUCAAAAGAUGCCCAAAGAAAGGAUCCAACACCCCUUCGUGAUUAAAAACUAAGACUAGAAAGAAACUUCCUCAACUUGAUGAAGGACGUCUAUGAAACUCCACAGUUAACAGCACACUUGAUGAUGGAAGACUUAAUGCUUUCCCCCUAAGAUUAAGAAAAAGAAAGGAUGUCUGUUCUCAUCACUUUUUAUUCAAUAUUGUUCUAGAGAUUCAAGCAAGGGCAACUAGGCAAGAAGAAAUAAAAUGUAUCCAGAUUGGAAAGGGAGAAGUAAAACUUUCCAUUUGCAGAUGACAUAAUCUUGUAUACAGAAAAUCCUCAGGAACCAACUAAAAAACUGCUAGAACUAGCAAAUGUUUUAAGCUAGGUUGCAGGAUAUAAGAUCAAUACACAAAAAAUUAUAUUUCCAUAUACUUGCAAUGAACAACUUGAAAUGAAAUGAAGAAAACAAUUCCAUUUGCAAUAGCAUCAAAAAGAAUAAAACAGAAAUAAAUUUAACCAAAAACCCCACAAUACUUAUACAUUGGAAGAUACAAAACAUUAUUGAAAGAAAUGAAAGACCUAAAUAAAUGGAAAAGUGUCCCAUGUGUUAGAUCAGAAGACUUAAUAUUGUUAAGAUGGCAACACUCCCCAAAUUGAUCUACAGAUUCAACCUGGUCACUAAUCAAAAUUCCAUCUGCCUUUUUUUUUUUUUUUUUUUUUUUUUUGCAGAAACUGACAAGCUGAUUUUAAAAUUCAUAAGAAAAUUCAAGGGAUUCAGAAUGGCUAAAACAAUCUUGAAAAAAGAAGAACAAAGUUGAAGGACCCAUACUUCCUAAUUUCUAAACUUACUACAAAGCUACAGUAAUCAAGAUGUAAGGUCACCUGGCACAAGAGUAGACAUAUAGAUCAAUGGACUAGAAUGAGAGUCUAAAAAUAAACCUUCACCUUUAUAGUCAAUUGAUUUUUGAAAAGGAUGCAUGACAAUUUAAGGGGGAAAGGAAGUCUUUUCAGCAAGUGACAUUGGAACAAAUGGAUAUCCACAUGCAAAAGGCUUAAACUGCAUAAGCACAAAAUUUAUGUAUAUAUACAUUUAAAAAAUAAUGGAUCAAAGACUUAAAUGUAUGAGCUAAAACUAUAAACUCUUGGAGGAAAACAUAGGCAUAAAUCUUUGUGGCGUUGCCAUUAGGCAACUGUUUCUUAGAUAUGACACCAAAGCACAAGCAACAGAAGAAAAAAAUAGAUGAACUGGACACCAGGACAAUUAAAAACAUCUGUGCUUCAAAGGACACUAUCAAAAGAGUGAAUCCAUAGAAUGAGAAAACAUUUGCAAUGCAUGUAUCUGAUAUGGGACUUAUAUCUAGAAUAUGUAAAAAAUGACAACUAAAGGACAACUAGCACAAUUAAAAAUGGGUAAAUGACCUGAAUAGACACUUAGAAAGGUACAGCUGCUUGGGAAAGAGAUUGACAGUUCCUCAAAAGGUUAAACAUAGUUACCAUAUGACCCAGAAAUUUUACUUCUAGGUAUGAACACAAGGCAAAUAAAAACAUGCUACAUAAAAACCUGUAUAUGAAUAUUCCUAACAGUCAUUUAUAUUAGUCAAAAAGUGGAUACAACCAAAGGGCUAUCAACUGAUGAAUAGAUAAAUAAAACCUGGUAUAUCCAUACAACGAAAUAUCAUUCAGCAAUAAAAAGACAUGAACAAAUAAUACUUCUUAAAAAAAUGAAGUACUCCUACAUGCUAGAAGAAUAAAUUUUGAAAACAUUAUGCUAAGUGAUAGAAGCCAAUCAUGAAAACUUACAUAUUUUAUGAUUCCAUUUAUAGGAAAGGUCCAGAAUAGCCAAAUUCAUAGCCAGAAGGCUUGCCUAAGGCUGGAGGAUUGGGGUGGGGGAUGAGGAAUGACUGCCAGCGGGUAUGGAAGUGGCAGAGGAGGGUGAUGAAAACAAUGUUCUAAAAUCGACAGUGGUGACAGCUGCGUGUCUCUGUGGCUGUAUCCCCAAACCACUGUACUGCACUCUUUAAAUGGGUGAAUGGUAUGGUGUAGGGAGUAUAUCUCAAUAUAGACGUUAUUAAAAAAAAAAAAAAAGAGAAAGAUAAAUCAAUUGAAAUCAGAAAUUAAACCCAGAAGUGACCAGGAAUAAAGUACAUUCCUGGAACUUUCAGAAUACAGAUGGUGGAGGUGGGACUCUAGAUUUAUUGCAGAACAUAAAAGUUUAAAAAANNNNNNNNNNNNNNNNNNNNNNCGGAAGAGCUACACCCACAGACAUUAGGAUCACCACUAUUGUUGGUGAGCAUAUGGAACUGACACUCCCAUGCCCUAUUGAUUUAUGGCUAAAUUGGUGCAGUGUGUCUAAAUUUCAAACAUUCAUACUCUUUAAUGAAGCAAAUCCACUCCAAAGGAUGACUACAUAAAGACGUUUGUCAAAGUUUUUGUAAUACUGAAAACUAGAAAUACUCCAUGUCCAUCUACAAGUAAAGCUUCUCAACCUUAGCCAACUCAGUCCUCCUCCUUGAAAUAAAUAUUUUAUAACACUCCCUUUAAAUCCUGAAAUGAAAGCCAUAGACUUCUACAACAAAAUAUACCUAAAAAUAUUAUAAAAGAGAAAUAAAAGGAAAGUAAUUUGUAAUAAAGUAAUAGGCAUUUCAAUUUGUAAAUACUCUAGACACAAAACAUACUCUAGAGGGCAGUACCACCCAGUUAACUCAUUACAGCAAACUGGUUAAAUAAUUCAAGAUAGAGCCAAACACAUGAAUGAUGUAGAUCCAGAUUCACUGACAAAGUGUCGAAUCAGAAAUCAGAUUGUACAAUUUGUUAUUGGCACAGGAAUAGACAAUAGAUAAACCAAGGAACAGAACAGAGUCCAAGAGUAAAUUCAAAUGUAUUCGGAAAAUUUUUUUUUUUUGGUCUUUUCCAGGGCCACACCUGUGGCAUAUGGAGGUUCCCAGGCUAGGGGUCUAAUCAGGGCUAUAGCCGCCAGCCUAAGCCAGAGCCACAUCAACGCCAGAUCCGAGCCAUGUCUGCAACCCACACCCUCAUGGUUCUUAGUCGGAUUCAUUAACCACAGAGCCAUGAAGGGAACUCCAAAUUUUUUCGGGCCACCCCCGUGGCAUAUGGAGGGUGGAAUAGGAGCUACAACUGCCAACCUACGCCACAGCCACAGCAAAGCCAGAUCCAAGUUGAGUCUGCAACCUACACCAC
rnacentral:lncRNA from 1 species